AGAAAUCAGAGAGACAGAAAGUCCGCAGGAGCAUAAUGCAUUCCGUAAGGAAAACUCACUGGGGCGAUAGAGACUCUGAGGGGACACAAGGUGUUACGCGUAGGCCAGGCUACGACUUAAAAAACUAACGGGGGACUUGAGGACAUCCAUACAAAAUGGAAAGACUCAGCCGGGGAAUAACAGCAUCUGCAGGGGAUAUGAGUAAGUCGGGAUAAAACUGAGGUACUCGACUCAUGCAUGGGAAAAGUAAUUUCAC
rnacentral:lncRNA from 1 species